rnacentral:rRNA from 1 species
AAAGGAAUAGACGGGGGCCCGCACAAGCGGUGGAGCAUGUGGUUUAAUACGACGCAACGCGUAGAACCUUACCAGGGCUUGACAUGCAGCUGCACGCCCCGGGAAACCGGGGAAUCCUUCGAGGGUGCUGCACAGGUGUUGCAUGCCUGUCGUCAGCUCGUGCCGUGAGGUGUUUGGUUAAGUCCAUCAACGAGCGCAACCCUCGUUCUUAUUUGCCAGUCUGAGCGCAAGCAAGGACGGAACUCUAAGAAGACUGCCUCGGUAACGAGGAGGAAGGUGAGGACGACGUCAAGUCAUUAUGGCCCUUAUGCCCUGGGCUACACACGUGCUACAAUGGCCGGUACAGAGGGUCGCCAACCCGCGAGGGGGAGCCAAUCCCACAAAGCCGGCCCCAGUUCGGAUUGGAGUCUGCAAUUCGACUCCAUGAAGUCGGAAUCGCUAGUAAUGGCGGAUCAGCUACGCCGCCGUGAAUACGUUCCCGGGCCUUGUACACACCGCCCGU